AUUGAACGCUGGCGGCAGGCCUAACACAUGCAAGUCGAGCGGAUGAAGGGAGCUUGCUCCUGGAUUCAGCGGCGGACGGGUGAGUAAUGCCUAGGAAUCUGCCUGGUAGCGGGGGAUAACGUCCGGAAACGGGCGCUAAUACCGCAUACGUCCUGAGGGAGAAAGUGGGGGAUCUUCGGACCUCAGGCUAUCAGAUGAGCCUAGGUCGGAUUAGCUAGUUGGUGGGGUAAAGGCCUACCAAGGCGACGAUCCGUAACUGGUCUGAGAGGAUGAUCAGUCACACUGGAACUGAGACACGGUCCAGACUCCUACGGGAGGCAGCAGUGGGGAAUAUUGGACAAUGGGCGAAAGCCUGAUCCAGCCAUGCCGCGUGUGUGAAGAAGGUCUUCGGAUUGUAAAGCACUUUAAGUUGGGAGGAAGGGCAGUAAGUUAAUACCUUGCUGUUUUGACGUUACCAACAGAAUAAGCACCGGCUAACUUCGUG
rnacentral:rRNA from 1 species